rnacentral:rRNA from 1 species
UCCGAAAGGGGCUAGCGUUGUUCGGAAUUACUGGGCGUAAAGCGCACGUAGGCGGCUAUGUAAGAUGGAGGUGAAAUCCCGGGGCUUAACUCCGGAACUGCCUUCAUGACUGGAUGGCUUGAGAACGGGAGAGGUGGGUGGAAUUCCGAGUGUAGAGGUGAAAUUCGUAGAUAUUGGGAAGAACACCGGUGGCGAAGGCGGCUCACUGGCGCGUUUCUGACGCUCAGGCACGAAAGCGUGGGGAGAAAACAGG